UACUUGGCUCAAAAAAAAAAAAAAAAAGGAAGGGCCAUGUGUCCUCGCUUCUGUGCAUGUGCUAGAAAAAUCAUUGGCUGUUUCAGAUGCUUUAAUCUGUCAAAUAAAUGAACAUUGAUUUGUGUCAUAAUUGUGUGAUUCAAUGUUUGUGCAAAUAAGAUAUGGUGACAGUUUGUCACAUCACUUUCUCUGAGCUUUUGCGAACAAAAUGUAUAAUUAUGUGAAAAUUUGUCAUGAGGUGAUAAAAUGAACAUUGAUUAAUUUGUUUAAUAUCUGUUUUCCCGUGAGUGUUGACUGUUCUAAUGUGACAAUACAGCACAGAUCUCAUAUACAGAAUUAUAUAGUGCACUCUGCUCAGACGGCAUACAGUAAGUGUUAAUAGCUGCUUGUCACAUCCACCUGGGUUCAUAUGCUUGUUUGUUUGGCACUCUGUCACUUUGAAUUGCUGGCAAGUGGCACCAAUGCACACUGGCACAAUGCCCUCAGGGGUGUAAUAGUUUCUCUCACUCACUCACUCUCUCACUCAAACUCACCCAUCACAAUUAUCAUGCCACAACCACUCAGUGCUCAUUGGAGGUCAUCUCAGAAUGACAGCUGUCACUGCUUUCUGAUUACCCCCACCUGGGAGAGAAUUAAAGACAAAUAAACCAGCGGUAAAUGGUGUGUGCGUGUUUGUGUUUGACGUGGCUACCCAACAGCCUCUUGUUUCCUCACAUCUUUCUAACACAGUGGAGGCAUCCGAGCUGACUGUACAGCACCAGAGGAAGAUCCUCCAGAUAUCCCUACACCUUCCAACCCCUCAGAGAAAGAGUCUGAAAGCUGUGGAGCGCCGUGUCGGAGAGAGGAGGGGGUCUGGUGAAAUGAGGGAAACAUUGAAGGAUCGCUCCACAUCCCAAUGAGAGAAUUUGGUGUGGAAGUGAGUUUGUGUAUGCAAGUGAUCGAUACCAGCAACCCAUCUCGCUCAUCUUGAACACACACGCGAACGCACCCAGGGUGCAACAGUGCUGUCUCACUCCGCCUCGUAAUGAGUGUGUAGGCUCAACACUGGCAGAUGGGAGAAAUGCCACCGUUGCAGAGCGUGUCACUCAGCUGUGAUAAGAUGUAUUAGAGAGGAACCGCUCCUUAAAUCAUGAGAGUAUAAGCAUAUGUUGUUUGUGCUACUUUGUUUGCUUCUGGCUGGAUUUUUUUCUGCCUGUUUUAUUUGUGAACUUGCUGUGAUGUGGCGGGUCUUCAACAGCUGGCUCAGUCAAAGAUGUUUAAUCUGGGUAAAUUUAUGGGAAAAAGGAAUCAGAAUUGGAGACGAAACGUUAAAAAUUGCUAAAAGAGCUGUGAAGUGAUGUGCUGCUGUAGGUCGGUAGAGUAACAGAUCAAAAAUAUCAGUCAGAAAGCAAAGCUAUUUGUCUAUCACUUUCCACAUUAUUUGUUAUAGCUCUAGAUGGAAGUUUGGGAUGAGCAUGUAAAUCUAAUCCUGUCAAAAACACAAGGACAUACAUUAGCAUUUAAAAGUUUGGGGUCAGUUAGAUAUAUAUAUAUAUAUAUAUAUAUAUAUAUAUAUAUAUAUGUAUAUGUGUUUUUGAAAGAAGUCUUUUAUCCUCACCAAAGCUGCAUUUAACAGUAUUAAUGUGUAAUAUUGAUACAAUUUAUAUAAAAAUAAAUAAAUGUUUUCUAUUUGAAUGUA